rnacentral:misc_RNA from 1 species
GAUGAAGAACGCAGCGAAAUGCGAUAAGUAAUGUGAAUUGCAGAAUUCAGUGAAUCAUCGAAUCUUUGAACGCACAUUGCGCCCGCCAGUAUUCUGGCGGGCAUGCCUGUUCGAGCGUCAUUACAACCCUCAGGCCCCCGGGCCUGGCGUUGGGGAUCGGCGGAAGCCCCCUGCGGGCACAACGCCGUCCCCCAAAUACAGUGGCGGUCCCGCCGCAGCUUCCAUUGCGUAGUAGCUAACACCUCGCAACUGNNNNNCGGCGCGGCCACGCCGUAAAACACCCAACUUCUGAAUGUUGACCUCGAAUCAGGUAGGAAUACCCGCUGAACUUAAGCAUAUCAAUAAGCGGAGGA